CCUAAAACCCAACCAAACAAAGUGUUAGGGCUUAGAAGUUAGAAGGGUGAGUGACGGACGUCUCAAAGCUCGGGAGUGGUCAGUGCGAAGAUGAUGAUUAGACGAAUUCGCUCUCAGAUUUUGGUCACUGCUCACCGACUCUCAGGACUCAGAAGCUCACAAUUUCAUUCUCAGAACUCCGCUCAGCCGCUCACAAGGGCGAUUUAUGGAAAUUAUAUGCAAGCAGAAUGCAAUCUUCAGAGAAAUGUAUGCCAGUGUCGAAAAUGCUCUAUGAUGCUCAGGGCAUCAUUUUCUACGGAAGCAGGGACAAUUGAAAGUAGUGCGACAGCAGAAUCUGUGAAGGAGUUGUAUGACAAAAUGCUGAAGUCUGUCAUGGAUCAAAGAAGUGCUCCGCCCAAUGCCUGGUUGUGGUCCCUAAUAGAAAGUUGUGCAAACCAUGAAGAUGCUAAACUUUUAUUCGACAUAUUGCAGAGACUUCGAAUAUUUAGACUUUCUAAUCUCCGUAUCCAUGAAAACUUCAAUUGUGCUCUCUGCCAGGAAAUUACUAAGGCAUGUGUACGUGUUGGCGCCAUUGAUUUGGGUAAGAAGGUGUUGUGGAAGCAUAGUGUAUAUGGACUGACUCCUAACAUUGGAUCUGCGCACCAUUUACUGUUAUUUGCUAAACAACAUAAUGAUGUUAAACUCUUGGUAGAAAUUAUGAAUCUGGUGAAGAAAAAUGACUUGAUCCUGCAACCUGGAACUUCAAAUAUAGUCUUCAGCAUUUGCUCCCAAACUGAUAACUGGGACUUGAUAUGUAAGUAUGGUAAAAGGUUUGUCAAGGCAGGAGUGAAGCUACGAAAGACUUCCUUGGACACUUGGAUGGAAUUUGCCUCAAAAAUAGGAGAUGUUGAUGCUCUGUGGAAAAUUGAGAAGAUACGAUCAGAAACCAUGAAGGAACAUACUCUUGGAAGUGGACUUUCACGUGCUAAGGGUUUCCUAAUUGACCACAAACCUGCAGAUGCUGUUGCUGUCAUUCAAUUACUCAAUCAGGAUUGCUUUAAGAGGGAAGAACAAUACUAGUGGUCGCCUUUAUACAAGGCACUGAAAGCAGCCCUUGAUAAUAGCGAUUACUUGUUCAAACUGUUGUUAAUCGGCGAUUCUUCUAUUUCAGUUUGAUAACACUACUGAAACACAUCACUGAAGGCUUUUUCAUUAGCUACAAUUUUUAUUCGUGUCUAAUUCUCUUCUAAUUCAACUUUAGUGCGUAUGUAAUUCAUUUUUGUGUUUAUAUAGAUCACUGAAUGCUUUUUCAUUAGCUACACUUUUCAUUCGUGUCUAAUUUUAUUCUAAUUCAACUUUAAUAUGUAUGCAAUUUAUUUUUCA